rnacentral:hammerhead_ribozyme from 1 species
AUCCAGCUGACAAGUUCUAAAUAGGACGAAAUGCACAACCUGGAU